UGACGGACAGGAAGGAGUACCAGCAAAUACUUUUUACUGAGCAUACAGGCAUUACGCUGGGUCUUUACAUAUCUCCUCCAAAUAAGUGAGUCCAAAUGGCAGGUAACUCGAAAGAAAGGAAAUACUCCUGUCAAAUGCAUAACUUGAAUCUAAACAUGAGGAAACAAUCAGAUAAACCCAAACACAGACUGGGAUCACAAGCCAAGGAACAUGGGCUGCCAGUAGAAGCUGGAAAGGCAAGAAAGGGGAUUUCCCCUAGAGCCUCCAGAAGGAAUGUAGACCUGCCUGACUUCUUGAUUUUAGCCCAGUGAGACCCAAUUUGAACUUGUAAAUCUCCAGAACCGUGUGAUAAUAAAUUUGUGUUGCUUAAA